rnacentral:rRNA from 1 species
GUGCCAGCAGCCGCGGUAAUACGGAGGAUGCGAGCGUUAUCCGGAUUUAUUGGGUUUAAAGGGUCCGUAGGCGGGUUAAUAAGUCAGCGGUGAAAACCUGCAGCUUAACUGUAGAACUGCCGUUGAUACUGUUAAUCUUGAAUAGUAUUGAAGUAGCUGGAAUGUGUAGUGUAGCGGUGAAAUGCAUAGAUAUUACACAGAACCCCGAUUGCGAAGGCAGGUUACUAAAUACCGAUUGACGCUGAUGGACGAAAGCGUGGGGAGCGAACAGGAUUAGAUACCCUGGUAGUCCACGCCGUAAACGAUGGAUACUCGUUGUUGGGGGUAUAAUUCUCAGUGACUAAGCGAAAGUAAUAAGUAUCCCACCUGGGGAGUACGACCGCAAGGUUGAAACUCAAAGGAAUUGACGGGGGCCCGCACAAGCGGUGGAGCAUGUGGUUUAA